rnacentral:rRNA from 1 species
GUUUAACUGGGGCGUUUGCCUCCCAAAAAGUAACGGAGGCGCCCAAAGGUUCCCUCAACCUGGUUGGCAAUCAGGUGUCGAGUGUAAGUGCACAAGGGAGCUUGACUGUGAGACUGACAAGUCGAGCAGGGACGAAAGUCGGGACUAGUGAUCCGGCAGUGGCUUGUGGAAGCGCUGUCGCUCAACGGAUAAAAGGUACCUCGGGGAUAACAGGCUGAUCUU